GGCGGAAUAGCUCAGUUGGCUAGAGCAAACGGUUCAUACCCGUUAGGUCGCCGGUUCAAAUCCAGCUUCCGCUACCA
rnacentral:tRNA from 1 species